GAUGAACGCUGGCGGCGUGCCUAAUACAUGCAAGUCGAGCGAACAGAUGAGGAGCUUGCUCCUCUGACGUUAGCGGCGGACGGGUGAGUAACACGUGGAUAACCUACCUAUAAGACUGGGAUAACUUCGGGAAACCGGAGCUAAUACCGGAUAAUAUAUUGAACCGCAUGGUUCAAUAGUGAAAGACGGUUUUGCUGUCACUUAUAGAUGGAUCCGCGCCGCAUUAGCUAGUUGGUAAGGUAACGGCUUACCAAGGCUACGAUGCGUAGCCGACCUGAGAGGGUGAUCGUCCACACUGGAACUGAGACACGGUCCAGACUCCUACGGAAGGCAGCAGUAGGGAAUCUUCCGCAAUGGGCGAAAGCCUGACGGAGCAACGCCGCGUGAGUGAUGAAGGUCUUCGGAUCGUAAAACUCUGUUAUGAGGGAAGAACAAAUGUGUAAGUAACCAUGCACGUCUUGACGGUACCUAAUCAGAAAGCCACGGCUAACUACGUG
rnacentral:rRNA from 1 species